rnacentral:rRNA from 1 species
GACGAGGGGUCCUAGCGUUGUUCGGAAUCACUGGGCGUAAAGAGUUCGUAGGCGGCUCCGUAAGUCGGGUGUGAAAUCCCACGGCUCAACCGUGGAAGUGCAUUCGAAACUGCGGAGCUUGAAUAUACAAGAGGUAGUAGAAUUCCUGGUGUAGUGGUGAAAUACGUAGAUAUCAGGAGGAAUACCGGUGCGAAGGCGGCUACCUGGUGCAAUAUUGACGCUGAGGAACGAAAGUGCGGGGAUCAAAACAGG